UAACAGCUGAUCCAAACACAGGGGAGAAUUUUUCCAGUGAUGGACAACCUUACUACAUUUUCUCUCAAAGAAGUUGACAAAAUGCAACGAGUGUGUGAAGACAACUUUGCCUGAAGGACUUCUCCGACUGACAGGAUGGUGAUCAUGUGAAGAAAUUGUUUUCUCUAUUACCCUGUGUUGCCUCUACAAAACUGUGACCUCUUCCAUGCUGCUUGAAGACAGACUCCAAAUAUUAUCAUGAGUUGGCGAACAAGAGCUGUACCAUAUGAAAUUUCCCCAACAAGCAGGCUAUGGUACAAGCACAAUCCUGUACUACUGCCUGGUUGCCUUUUAGACACUGAAUGAUAAAUAAAGCAGACAGCCAUGGGUUUGCAAGAAAUGGAUUUAUAUUUACCACAUUGAGCAUAACAUAACACAAAAGAUUGCAUAUCCUAAGGAUGUUUUCAUUGCAGUGAAAUAGCUGAGCAUGAAUCUGUUCCACCUCAGAGCUCAUUCAUCAAUCAGUUCCACCUUUAUCAAUUGAAAUUGUACAUGUCCAUUGCUUUAAUUCAAGGGCUUCUCUUCUUUACUGUUACAUAUUUUUAUGAACUUUAUGCUUGAUGAUUGAUGUCAGUGCUGAAGUAAGGUACAUUUCCAUUUCGUUUCUUCCCAGUGUUAGCAUUAUGCACUCCCAUGUUAGGUGUAGCACAGGUUAUCUGCAAGCCACAGCUUGCCUUGUGCUGCCUAAAUAUGUUCCUGAGCCUCUGACCUUUGAGAAACUUGCUUGAUUUGAGGACUAAAGAACACUGUUUGAAGUUAAAGAUGUCAAAGGAAAACAGGAAAUAUGAGCAAAACCUGAGGAAAAGAGCGAUAGGAUUGCAAAUCAGAGUAGCAGCAGGGUGGAGGGCCAGAACACAUGGAAAAUGUUAAACAAGGGCUGAAUAAUGACUAUUGGGACAUGGAGCUACUCAUUCCACAUCCGUGGCAAGGAGCCGGAUAGAAGAUUUGGUGAGGUAUAUAAAUGGUCUUCCCCUGUCCAAAACAUUACUAUGGGGUCACUGUCUUUGGUUUAUUGUUGGCACUGUAAUGGAAUAGUAACAACUUUUAGCGUGAAAAACCCUUUUUAAGCAAUUUGCCUUUACUCUUCAUUAUUAACAAAGAUCAGCAUAAAUGUGCAAUUUGCUUUAAUAAAAUAUUGGGCAAGUUCAAACAUCAAGUCACCCUACUACAUUUCUUGCACCAUGCUUCCUUGUAUGUGCCUUUUGACUAAUUAUUCCAGUGACACCUGAGGUCCAGGAACAUGGGGCUCCUCAGAAGAUCAUGGGGCUGAAAUGGCCAUUGUGUCACAUUAUGAAAUGAAGAUCCUGCUGCUGAAGUUACGGCGGUGCAGUGGGAGCAGCUCGGAGGAAAUCCCAGUCUCUGGAUCGAUCACUAUUAUUAAAAACACAAAACAAGAAUCGGAGGAGGCAGCUCAGGAAUGAUAGAAUUUGUUGGACAAAAGGUGGGUGUGGACAGAAUAAUAUUGGAUGAAAUUUAACGGAGACAACUGUCAUGUCCUUAAGACACGAAAGAGACCAUGAACUGUUUAAAUCAAACCUGACUUCCUGCUUAUUCAAAAAUGGACUUUGCUGGACCAAAAACCAUAGCUGCUACAGGUCACAUGAUUUGCAAGCUGGCUACAGUCCUGGAAACUUCCAACAGUAAUUACAGGAGAAAGCUCAACCCGCAUUCUUGUGGAAUCUCACACCAUCAUUGUGUGGACCCAUUACAAUCAUGAAACAAGGGAGCAACAGUCAGUCUGAGUUGGCAUCCUUGACUUAAAGCAAAGAGAGAGAGAGAGCCAUCAAAACUCAUUACCUAUGGAAGCACUAAUAACCACCAUCUAUCUCCUAAGGUGAACAAUGGAUUUUGACCAGAAACAUGGAAACUGGUUGUUAAUCUGAAACUGACUCAUCAAUGAGCAACACCACAUGACCUAAGCUCCUUUGGCCUUUAGAAAGUUUUAACGUUACAUUCCUGGACUCCAAGUGCAAUUUGCUAUUAAAUAUCCAGCCUUUUAACAGCAAAGCCGGACUCCAGGCUAACAACAAAACCUGCCUCAAGUUUAAACCUCUUCAAAGCCAGGUUCUCUGGAAGAGUCCUGCCAUCGCCUGUAGAGUGAACCAAGUCUCUGUAUACAAAUCUCAUCUUACAGCAUUAUCAUCAACUUUGAAGGAAUUUGGCAACUCCUACUUUCGCUAGCUGAACCCACUUAAACUUUGAACUCCUACAUGAAGAAACCCUCAACGGACACUGACAUUCUGGACUCUAACGUUCAAGUAAAUUAAUAUUCCUAUCUUUAUUUGUUUUGUUCUUAGUUAUACCUAGUUUUAAAACUCUUUUCUUUCCCAUCUCCUUCUUGUGUGCUCGUGUGUGUAUGUAGCUGCAAUGACCAUCUCCCGGGUUUGAAUGUAAGAAUAAACAAUACUUCUGAUUUAACCCUAAAGAGAGUUUGUUAUAAGUCACUUUAAAAUUGACUUCACAAGCAGUCUAUUUCAAAAAUUUAAACACCUCUGCUUACGGACAGACAGUGAGGAAAUAAAAGAGUUCAGUUUGUCUCUCUCCCCUGCCUAUAACACAAGCAAAGCACAACAAAUGGGAAGAAAAACAUAUUAUGCAUGUACUCUAUGAAUCGUGUUGAAAUAGCUAAGGUGAAACCAAAUGACCUAGAAGUCCUAUUGGGCUCAUUAAUGUGAAGUUGCAAUUAAUAAACACAGCAAAAUGUU